rnacentral:rRNA from 1 species
AGCGAACGCUGGCGGCAGGCCUAACACAUGCAAGUCGAACGGAUCCUUCGGGAUUAGUGGCGGACGGGUGAGUAACACGUGGGAACGUGCCCUUUGGUUCGGAACAACUCAGGGAAACUUGAGCUAAUACCGGAUGUGCCCUUCGGGGGAAGGAUUUAUCGCCAUUGGAGCGGCCCGCGUCUGAUUAGCUAGUUGGUGAGGUAAAGGCUCACCAAGGCGACGAUCAGUAGCUGGUCUGAGAGGAUGAUCAGCCACAUUGGGACUGAGACACGGCCCAAACUCCUACGGGAGGCAGCAGUGGGGAAUCUUGCGCAAUGGGCGAAAGCCUGACGCAGCCAUGCCGCGUGAAUGAUGAAGGUCUUAGGAUUGUAAAAUUCUUUCACCGGGGACGAUAAUGACGGUACCCGGAGAAGAAGCCCCGGCUAACUUCGUGCCAGCAGCCGCAGUAAAAC